UUCGGUGCCACCGGCGGGCGAGGCCGGAUUAAUCACCGCUGCUUCGGCCGCCCAUGUGUCCUGAUGUCCUGGGACCCGAACCCCGUGCCCCGUACCUUGCGAUGCUGGCGCCUACGGAGGGCAUCCGAAACUGCCCUACAGAGCAGUCGCCGGGCAGUUGAAGAUCAGCUAAAGAUAUGUGGCCACAGGAGGGAUGCUGAUGUCUUUGAGCUGUUCCUUUCUAAAAAAAAUAAGAGAUCCAACUACUCCAGGCCACAUCAAUCAAAUGGACCAACUAUCCUCAGACAGUGCCCUCUCCCAAACCCACAUCUGCCCCUUUGAUGAGUGAGCUGCCUUAGCAACAAGAACCAAGACCACUUGGAUAGGUGGAAUCUCACACAGUUCAAGAGAAGUGGGUAAUAUUUUAAUCCUAUAAUUAAUAAAUAAAGGGAGAAUAAAGCACUUCA
rnacentral:lncRNA from 10 species